CCUACGGGCGGCUGCAGUGGGGAAUAUUGGACAAUGGGGGCAACCCUGAUCCAGCCAUGCCGCGUGUGUGAAGAAGGCCCUCGGGUUGUAAAGCACUUUCAGUGAGGAAGAACGCCUGGUGGUUAAUACCCAUCAGGAAAGACAUCACUCACAGAAGAAGCACCGGCUAACUCCGUGCCAGCAGCCGCGGUAAUACGGAGGGUGCGAGCGUUAAUCGGAAUUACUGGGCGUAAAGCGCGCGUAGGUGGCUUGAUAAGCCGGUUGUGAAAGCCCCGGGCUCAACCUGGGAACGGCAUCCGGAACUGUCAAGCUAGAGUGCAGGAGAGGAAGGUAGAAUUCCCGGUGUAGCGGUGAAAUGCGUAGAGAUCGGGAGGAAUACCAGUGGCGAAGGCGGCCUUCUGGACUGACACUGACACUGAGGUACGAAAGCGUGGGUAGCAAACAGGAUUAGAUACCCGGGUAGUC
rnacentral:rRNA from 1 species